CACGCGGCGUGCUAACACAGUGCGAGUCGAGCGGGUGAACACGGAGCUUGCUCUGUGGGAUCAGUGGCGAACGGGUGAGUAACACGGUGAGCAACCUGCCCCUGACUCUGGGAUAAGCGCUGGAAACGGCGUCUAAUACUGGAUAUGUGACGUGACCGCAUGGUCUGCGUUUGGAAAGAUUUUUCGGUUGGGGAUGGGCUCGCGGCCUAUCAGCUUGUUGGUGAGGUAAUGGCUCACCAAGGCGUCGACGGGUAGCCGGCCUGAGAGGGUGACCGGCCACACUGGGACUGAGACACGGCCCAGACUCCUACGGGAGGCAGCAGUGGGGAAUAUGCACAAUGGGCGAAAGCCUGAUGCAGCAACGCCGCGUGAGGGAUGACGGCCUUCGGGUUGUAAACCUCUUUUAGCAGGGAAGAAGCGAAAGUGACGGUACCUGCAGAAAAAGCGCCGGCUAACUACGUGCCAGCAGCCGCGGUAAUACGUAGGACGCAAGCGUUAUCCGGAAUUAUUGGGCGUAAAGAGCUCGUAGGCGGUUUGUCGCGUCUGCUGUGAAAUCCCGAGGCUCAACCUCGGGCCUGCAGUGGGUACGGGCAGACUAGAGUGCGGUAGGGGAGAUUGGAAUUCCUGGUGUAGCGGUGGAAUGCGCAGAUAUCAGGAGGACCACCGAUGGCGAAGGCAGAUCUCUGGGCCGUAACUGACGCUGAGGAGCGAAAGGGUGGGGAGCAAACAGGCUUAGAUACCCUGGUAGUCCACCCCGUAAACGUUGGGAACUAGUUGUGGGGUCCAUUCCACGGAUUCCGUGACGCAGCUAACGCAUUAAGUUCCCCGCCUGGGGAGUACGGCCGCAAGGCUAAAACUCAAAGGAAUUGACGGGGACCCGCACAAGCGGCGGAGCAUGCGGAUUAAUUCGAUGCAACGCGAAGAACCUUACCAAGGCUUGACAUAUACGAGAACGGGCCAGAAAUGGUCAACUCUUUGGACACUCGUAAACAGGUGAGUGCAUGGUUGUCGUCUGCUCGUG
rnacentral:rRNA from 1 species